AGAAGAGAAGCAGCAUUAAACCAUCAGAGCUCUGAGAUGAAACACACUUUGGUCUGCUUCAUCUUCCUCACACUUCAGGAUGGAAACACUGGUUUGGUCAAAGCACAAACUCUCACCCACAGAGCAGAGGAAGGAGGAAACAUCACAGUUAAAUGCAGCUUUUAUUUCUCUGGAAGCAGGAAACUCUUCUGUAAGGAAAAAUGUGAAAAUGGAAACAUUCUUGUUGAAACAUCUGAUGAUGCAGCUCAGAACGGCAGAUACAGCAUUAAAUAUGAAAUCAAAGGCUUUUUCUCAUAUACUCUGUAUGUGAGCAUCACACAGCUGAAACAGUCUGACUCAGGACGGUACAGGUGCUCUUUGGACAGAAUUUUUGAUACAGGGAAAGAUGAGUUUGAGCUGAUUGUCACAGCAGCUUCAACCACUUCAACACCAAACGGGACUCUGAGACCUUUUUCAGCUUCAGUGUUUCUCUCAUCAGCCUCCACACCACCAACAACACAGAGUUUAAGCUCAACUUCAGGAAGCUCCACACCUUCAUCAGCCUCUGCGCCACCAAAAAUGGAAACAACACAGAGUUUAAGCUCAACUUCAGGAAGCUCCACACCUUCAUCAGCCUCCACUGAAACCAAAGAUGCAAGAUCAGAACUACAAAAGAUUGACACAUUAAGAGCUGUGGAAGAAGCACUCCGAUCUUUAAGUGUUGUAAAUGAGAAGCAAUAAAAAUUGUUCUGUCAUGCUUCGUGAACAGUUUGUCAGAUGUGCUGAUUUAUGUGGGUCUGAUUCUGGUCGUUAUGAUCGUCGUCUUAUCAGCAGCUCUGCUGAUUUUCUGCAUGAGGAGGAAGACCACUAAACCCAGAGGACCUCCUGUGGAAACAGAGUAUGCUGACACGCAGGCCGACAGGUUGUAUGAAGAGAUCAGAGAGUGUGACAUGCCGAGCAGGUCACCUCCUGUCGAAGUGUCUUCAGUUUAUGCCACUGCUAAAGACCCCCGUUCAGAUGGAGUUGAAAAUAUAGACCUCUACAGCCUUGCAACCUCUCCUCAUAACAAUGCAGAUAACCUCUGCUACGCUGAAGUGGAGUUUUCCCACAUUCCUGCCACCAGCAGCGCCCCCUGUGGUGAAGCAACUGAUGUUGUCUACUCAGUGCCUCAGGUGGACCUGAGUACUGCCAGCCACACCAAAGAUGCUUCACCUCCUGUGUACUCUACUGUUUCCUCACUAUGAAUUACUUCAGUACUUUUUUUAAACCUGUCCUGUCCAGCAGCUGUAACAAGCGUAAUGUCUGAAUGCUUUGUUUUGCCAAACAUAUUUGCUUUCCCAAGAGGGGCACUGUAGGCUCUCUGUAGGCUCCUCUUUUUAGGUUUUUGUUUUAUUUAUUUAAUCCUAUUAUUCAUAUUUUUCUGUGUAUGGGUGGGGGAAAAUCGAGGAUGAAGCCAACAGACAUGCUGGGUCUCCAACUGCUACAUCUGUGACAAAGUACACAAACAAUAAGCAACACCUGAAAGACAAAACACAGUGUGUGUGUGUGUGUGUGUGUGUGUGUGUGUGUGUGUGUGUGUGUGUGUGUGUGUGUGUGUGUGUGUGUGUGUGUGUGUGUGUGUGUGUGUGUGUGUGAACCAGAAAGAGAGAAGAUGGGAGUGUGUAUGAUUGUUUGUAAUGAAACACAUUUGAAAAAUGAGGGUGAAGGCCUGGGAAAGACCCAAGAGACCCCAGCUUUCCACAGCUCCCAAGAGACCUGAAGAUCUUAAUCUCAACAACCAUACAUUCUAUCCUAGCCGAGGGAAGAUGGAGGCCGGACGGAGCUCCUAUAGCCAGCAGGCAACCAACCCCGCUGGCCACCCCAGCAUGAGGCAAAGGCGGGACUCAGUAACUGCCCAACACCCAGCAGAGCCCCCACCGCACAACGAAGAGGCCCAAGCUAGCCCUGGACACACACAGCCAUCCCCACACUCUGAAGUGUGGAUGGACAGGUGCCUUCCCAUAGCCAGCAGUGAUCCCGGGACGCAGUCAGCCAGUCCCCCGAUCACCAGCCAGACACGACAUCAGCCAGGGUGGUGAUAAUUACAUGAGCACUUAAGCUAUGGGUGAAACCUAUACAAAAGUUAGUUUAUUUUUCUACUUUUGACAUAUUUAUAACUUCAAUGCACAGUCACAUAGCCUCAGGUUAAAGCUGUUUUUAUUACAGCUGCUUAUAAUUCAGCUCAACAGAUACAAAAAAUGUUGCUAUUAUGAUUUUGUAGGAUAGAUGAAACCGUUGCAGGAAACAGACUGCUAUCAUUUAAGGACAUGAUAUAAGGAAAACAAAAAGUGAAGAGAUACAGUAAACUACAUGUUUUUAAUGAAAAUAAAUAUGAACAUUGGCAGUUUUAA
ensembl:lncRNA